rnacentral:rRNA from 1 species
AUGGCAGUAGAGGAUGUGGAGAAGACGGCCUUCCUGACCCCUUGCGGGGUGUACUGCUACACUUGCAUGCCGUUCGGGCUGGGCAACGCGGGCGCGACCUUCCAACGGCUGAUGCACAUCGCCCUGGGCCAGCAGCUCGGGAGGAAUGCUGAAGCCUACGUCGACGACAUUGUGGUGAAGUCUCGGGAGGCGAGAGCUUUGAUUCAGGACCUGGAGGAGACCUUCAACGAGCCUGCGCCAGGUGGACUUGCGGCUCAACCCGGAAAAGUGCAUAUUUGGUGUCCCCUCCGGCAAUCUGCUGGGCUUCCUCGUGUCCCACAGGGGGAUCGAGGCCAACCCAGAGAAGGUCAAGGCGAUUGA